AAAAAGGCCCUUCUCAGGGCCAUCAUAUAGAAAUAAUAUUACGU
rnacentral:ncRNA from 1 species